rnacentral:rRNA from 1 species
UACGUAUGGAGCAAGCGUUAUCCGGAUUUACUGGGUGUAAAGGGAGUGUAGGUGGCCAGGCAAGUCAGAAGUGAAAGCCCGGGGCUCAACCCCGGGACUGCUUUUGAAACUGCAGGGCUAGAGUGCAGGAGGGGCAAGCGGAAUUCCUAGUGUAGCGGUGAAAUGCGUAGAUAUUAGGAGGAACACCAGUGGCGAAGGCGGCUUGCUGGACUGUAACUGACACUGAGGCUCGAAAGCGUGGGGAGCAAACAGG